CGACCGGCGCACGGGUGCGUAACGCGUAUGCAACCUACCAUCAACAGGGGGAUAACACUGAGAAAUUGGUACUAAUACCCCAUAAUAUCCCAUGCGGCAUCGCAUGGGGUUGAAAACUCCGGUGGUUGAUGAUGGGCAUGCGUUGUAUUAGCUGGUUGGUGAGGUAACGGCUCACCAAGGCGACGAUACAUAGGGGGACUGAGAGGUUAACCCCCCACAUUGGUACUGAGACACGGACCAAACUCCUACGGAAGGCAGCAG
rnacentral:rRNA from 1 species